CUCUUAUAAAAUUUUUAUAAGUAAAAUUUGCUCCAUGUUUAAUAAAUAGCCGCAGGACACUAACUGUGCUAAGGUAGCAUAAUCAUUUACCUUUUAAUUAAAGGUUUGUAUGAACGAUUUAACACUUAAAUUUCUUUUUUAUUAAUUCCACCUAAAAUUAAAUUAAACAUAAAAAUGUUUUUAUAAAAUAAAAAGACGACAAGACCCUAUUGAACUUUACUAAAGUUAAGCUGGGGAAGCUAAUUAAAUACAAUUUUAAUUCUUAAACAAAAAAAAAAUUCUGAAACCAUCAAUUUGAAUAAGUUACCAUAGGGAUAACAGCGUAAUUUUCCUUUAAAGCUCUUAUUAAAAGAACAGGUUACGACCUCGAUGUUGAAUUAGAAUAACUUUGAAACGCAAUAGUUCCAAAAGUAGGUCUGUUCGACCUUUAAAUUUCUACA
rnacentral:rRNA from 1 species